rnacentral:tRNA from 1 species
GCAGCCGUAGCUUAACUGGAUAGAGUAUUCGCUUGCGAAGUGGACGGUUAGGGGUUCGAAUCCCCUCGGUUGCACCA